GGCAACAUUUUUCCAGUCUUCAACUGUCCAAUUUUGGUUCAUGGCAGCUUUGGACACAACACAUAAAUGAACCCUGAAUGUCACUGUCUAACAACACAUAAAUCACAGGGUCAACUGCAGAGAGAGACAACACACAUACUCAUGGAAGAUUCACUAUGGAGAAAGCUGCUUCUACUUUUCAACCCAGCCAGGACUGUAUUUUUCUGUACUUCAAUACAGAAGCUCACAGAGCAUUUCUCAUCGAAAACGUAAAGGAUUCUUCCAUCAUCUCUACACUGCAGUUACUGUAAUAAGGCUCAAAAAAAGUGAGAAAAGUGAGUACCGGGACUUGCUGAAAGAGUUUACAAUAGAUAAUCACCACUAUCUUUCAUAGUUAUUCUUCACAACUCUGUAGACCACU